rnacentral:rRNA from 1 species
UCACGCUGGCGGGUGCUAACACAUGCAGUCGAACGAGAAAGUGGAGCAAUCCAUGAGUAAAGUGGCGCACGGGUGAGUAACACGUGACUAACCUACCCUUGAGCGGGGGAUAACCUAGGGAAACCUGGGCUAAUACCGCAUAAUAUCUAUGGAUCAAAGCGAGCAAUCGCACUUAAGGAGGGGGUCGCGGCAGAUUAGCUAGUUGGUGAGUGUAAUGGCUCACCAAGGCGAUGAUCUGUAUCCGGCCUGAGAGGGCGCACGGACACACUGGAACUGAAACACGGUCCAGACUCCUACGGGAGGCAGCAGUGGGGAAUUUUGCGCAAUGGGGGAAACCCUGACGCAGCAACGCCGCGUGGAGGAUGAAAUCCCUUGGGAUGUAAACUCCUUUCGAUCGGGACGAUAAUGACGGUACCGGAAGAAGAAGCCCCGGCUAACUUCGUGCCAGCAGCCGCGGUAAUACGAGGGGGGCGAGCGUUGUUCGGAAUUAUUGGGCGUAAAGGGUGCGUAGGCGGUUUCGUAAGUCUGAUGUGAAAUCUCUGGGCUCAACCAGAGGCUGAUCGGAGACUGCGGAGGUGGA